GGAAUAUAGCUCAAUUGAUAGAGUGCUUGCCUUGCAUGCACAAGGCCUUGGGUUCAAUCCCCAGUACCA
rnacentral:tRNA from 1 species